rnacentral:rRNA from 1 species
CGGUGACAAACCAAAAAAAGGUGGGGAUGGUCAAAUCAUCACACCCCUUAUGUCGUAGGGUUCCCCCGUUCUUCAAUGGCUAUUACAGUGGGAAGCAAACCUGUAAAGUGGAGCAAAUCCCCAAAAAUAGCCCCAGUUCAGAUUGUGGGCUGCAACUCGCCCACAUGAAGUCGGAAUUGCUAGUAAUGGCAGGUCAGCAUACUGCCGUGAAUACGUUCCCGGGCCUUGUACACACCGCCCGUCACACCAUGAGAGUCUGCAACACCCGAAGUCAGUAGUUUAACCGCAAGGAGGACGCUGCCGAAGGUGGGGCCGAUGAUUGGGGUGAAGUCGUAACAAGGUAGCCGUAUCGGAAGGUGCGGCUGGUAUCUUCCUCGCAUUAAUCUGGCAUCACC